UCAUAAUUUUGGUCAAAAAUAGCUAUAUACUAAGCAUUUUUUAUUUGUUUUACUUUAUUUAAAGCUUAUUGUAUAUUAUCCCGAAGUUUCAUUCCAUAAAAAACAGAAAUGAGGAAAUUCGAUAUUUCGUGUACCAUCAGCAUCCAAAUUUUCAAGUAUACAGAAAUUUAACUUUCCGGAAUAUAACGGAAAUUUUCGGGUAUCUCCGUGGUACCAUCUCCGUGCAAUUAUGCAGUAUGGCGUUCAUCUCUUACAGAAAGAGAAUGGUAACUUGAUACACUGUGUUGUGUGUGGAUAAGAAAUGCAGAGUGGUACCACCAAUCACCUAAGCCACCAUUCCCCUAACAGACAAAAGGCUCAUGGGGACAGUUCCUGCAGUUUACAGCAAAUUGUAGCCCUACAAACUUCAGAUACUGCCAAGCUUGGGUGCACUGGGCCGGU